CGAGUUUGAUCAUGGCUCAGAUUGAACGCUGGCGGCAGGCCUAACACAUGCAAGUCGAGCGGGUUUCGGACCUAGCGGCGGACGGGUGAGUAAUGCGUAGGAAGCUACCGACAGAGGGGAUACCAGUUGGAAACGACUGUUAAUACCGCAUAAUGUCUAGGACCAAAGUGUGGGACCUUCGGGCCACAUGCUAUCGGAUGCGCCUACGUGGGAUUAGCUAGUUGGUGGGGUAAUGGCUCACCAAGGCGACGAUCCCCUAGCUGGUUUGAGAGGAUGAUCAGCCACACUGGAACUGAGACACGGUCCAGACUCCUACGGGAGGCAGCAGUGGGGAAUAUUGGACAAUGGGCGCAAGCCUGAUCCAGCCAUGCCGCGUGUGUGAAGAAGGCCUUCGGGUUGUAAAGCACUUUCAGCGAGGAGGAAGGGUUAGUAGUUAAUAGCUGCUAAUUUGACGUUACUCGCAGAAGAAGCACCGGCUAACUCUGUG
rnacentral:rRNA from 1 species